CCUACGGGCGGCAGCAGUGGGGAAUAUUGCACAAUGGGGGAAACCCUGAUGCAGCGACGCCGCGUGAGUGAAGAAGUAUUUCGGUAUGUAAAGCUCUAUCAGCAGGGAAGAAGCAAGACGGUACCUGACUAAGAAGCCCCGGCUAACUACGUGCCAGCAGCCGCGGUAAUACGUAGGGGGCAAGCGUUAUCCGGAUUUACUGGGUGGAAAGGGAGCGUAGACGGUAUGGCAAGUCUGAAGUGAAAGCCCAGGGCUUAACCCUGGGACUGCUUUGGAAACUGUUAGACUAGAGUGCUGGAGAGGUAGUGGAAUUCCUAGUGUAGCGGUGAAAUGCGUAGAUAUUAGGAGGAACACCAGUGGCGAAGGCGGCUUACUGGACAGUAACUGACGUUGAGGCUCGAAAGCGUGGGGAGCAAACAGGAUUAGAUACCCGUGUAGUC
rnacentral:rRNA from 1 species